CAGAAAGCCACACAGUGUGAAGAAAUAGGAACAGAUUGAUUUUAGAACACAGGAAAUUCUGCAUAGAGUGGAAAGUCUGAGGCCUUGCGGUUUCUCUGUGCAAACUCCAGCAUCACCAGUCAAUGGCCAGGACAUGAAAGGACAGAGAAGGUGAAACUCCCCUUCCAGAACCUUCAUCUGGCGAUGGAUGGAGAUAGAGACAGAAAUCCACAUUGGAGCACUGGACUGAGCCCCCAAGGUCCAGAUGAAGAGCAGAAGGAGGGAGAAAUGAGCGAGGAAGUCAAGACAGCGAGGGUGCAUCCACCAACGGAGAUGGUGGGACUGAUCUAAUGGGAGUUCACCAAAUUUCAGAGUUCCCAGCAGUGCAAUGUGAGGUCAUCAGCUUUGGAAGGUUCAUGGAAGGGUUUGUUUAUCAUCAGUAUUCAUGGUCAUACUAUGGCUCUUCCUCAGAAAUGUCCUCUCUUUCCCUUUAUGGCCUCAAUAACUCAGAGCAGUGACAUAGCAUUACAGGUGUUCUUUUGAAAUUAGGCACUAAAAGACGGCUUCGGUUUACUAAUAAAAGGAAAAUAUCCUAUAAAGGAAUACGUAUAAAAAGCAAAUAAACUCCCCAGAUUCUGGAAAGUGAAAUAAAUAAAGACUAUUUUAUGUUUUAUUAAUUUACUUUAUAUUGCAUAGAAUUAGACAAGUUCAAGUUAUAAGCAUAACUCUGAAUAGGUAUUGGGAAAGAUUUUAUCAAUAAUGUGCUUUUUCCAAAGAAAAGAUGUUUUUCAUGACUAUAGAAAGAGUCCUAGACAACUGAAAGAGGCUCACCAAGGGCUUCCUGACACGCUCCAUGCAUGAGACUUUCCCAUCAACACUAUAGCCUUCAUCCAGUCAUAUUAAAGUCCUAUGUUUAAUCAGAAGUGUCUGUUUCAGGUUAUAUCACGUAUAUAUAAAUGCAUGCAUCUGUAAUAUGCCUUUUCUGUCCUGUCUGCCAGCUCCCAAAUAAUGUGUAAUUAUGAAAGCUCAGCCUAUAGCUUAGGCAUGUUUCUAACUAGUUCUUAUAACUUAAAUUUACCCAUUUUUAUUCAUCUACAUUCUACAACAUGACUCGUGGCUGUUACUUCUCAUUCUCCACAUCCUGCUUUCUCCACAUCUGGCUGGUGACUCCACCUCUAUUCUUCCCAGAGUUCUCUCUCUAUCCAGAAGUCCUACCUAAACCUCCUUUCUAGCUAUUGGCUGUUCAGCUGUCUAUUACUGCAAUCACAGCAAUACAUCUUCACACAGUGUACAAAUAUCCUACAAUGGAUAUUCAUGCAAAAAACAAUUGCUGAAAAAAGAGGCCAUCAAUUUGAAGGAGUGUGGAGGGAGGACUUGGAGGGAGAAAGGGUAAGGGUGAGAUCUGUAAUUAAAACACAAUGUUAGAAAUAAACAAAAUUAAAAACAGAAUGCCUGCUUCAUUAGGUAAAAUUUUUGUGUGAUAAAGUAACACCACAUACCUUGAAAAUGACAAAAGCAGAUAUUUCAUGGGCACCUUCCCCUCAUAAACACAGCUGUCAGGUUCUAGCUCUGAUAGCCCUAAUGCAUAUGUUGGAUUUAUUUGUCAAUUCUAUGGAUUUCCCGUUUCUAACUAAAUUUUUACUCAUUUCCUGACAUGAAUAUUUAACUCUAACUUCAAAGUAAAAUUACAUCAAACCUACCAUAGACAUAUGCAUAAAGAUAAAUAAAUUUUAAAGAGGGGUUGAAUUAGCCCUCUCUGU